GAAUAAUUGAGUAGCUUUUGGGUGUGCAUUACUUUAAUUUUGUGUAGUGAAAUUGAUCUGUAGCUUUCUAAACUGGAGAUUUUAUUCGAAUGAUUUGCUUUGAUUUUGAAGCGUGGAUUCCAUGUUUUGUUUGUUAUGAUGUUUUUUAUUUGACUGUGUUGUGUGCAGGACAUUGCUAACACCGAGCUGCCUCCAACUCACCCUAUCAGGCUAGGUCUUGCUCUGAGUUUCUCUGUGUUUUACUAUGAGAUUCUUAACUCUCCUGAUCGUGCAUGAAGCCUUGCAAAACAGGGUGACAGUCUAAAGAGGAUGCUGCAUGUGGCUGCAUUUGCAGUUUCGGGGAGCUGGAGAGUCAGGGAAGUCCACAAUAUUUAAGCAGAUAAAACUUUUGUUUCAAAUCGGCUUUGACAAGGCAGAACUAAAAAGCUACUUACCAGUCAUUCAUGCAAACAAUGGCGGAUCCAAGACCCUAAGUCAGUGGGUGUAAAUUAUAAAAAAAAA